AUAAGAAAAAGUUUAUCAUUUUAUUUAUCUUAUGUAACAUUGCAUUAACAGAGUCUAAUAAAGCUAAAUGUAUUGAAAACUGUGUGAAUGGCAACUGCGAUACCAAUGGUCAAUGUAUUUGUGAUCAAUGUUGGGAAGGCAUCAAAUGUGACCAAUUUGUGGACAACUAUUCACCAAAUUUUGAUAGCAAUGAAAAAGUCAUUUACAUUAAUAGAGAUCACAUCGCGAGUAAUAAACCUAUAUUUGUGGCGAAAGCUCACGACAGGGAUAGAGAGCUAACUUGUCAUCAGAUAAAUAAAGAUUGUAUUUGCGGUCAAAUUGUUUAUGAAUUAAAAUCAGAAAAAAAUGUCAAGUCUUUGUUUAAAAUAAAUGAAAAAUCA